UACAGAGGGUGCGAGCGUUGUCCGGAAUCACUGGGCGUAAAGGGCGCGUAGGUGGCGAUCCAAGUCCAUGGUGAAAGCUCGAUGCUCAACAUCGAGUCGGCCACGGGAUACUGGGUUGCUUGAGCACUGUAGGGGCAGAUGGAAUUCCGGGUGUAGCGGUGGAAUGCGUAGAGAUCCGGAAGAACACCGGUGGCGAAGGCGGUCGCU
rnacentral:rRNA from 1 species